rnacentral:rRNA from 1 species
GACGAAUGCUGGCUGCGUGCUUAACACAUGCAAGUCGAACGGUGAAAGGGAGCUUGCUCCCUGGAUCAGUGGCGAACGGGUGAGUAACACGUGGGCAACCUGCCCCUCACUCCGGGAUAACUCCGGGAAACCGGGGCUAAUACCGGAUACGACCUGGUGCGACAUCGCACCGGGUGGAAAGAACCUCGGUGAGGGAUGGGCCCGCGGCCUAUCAGCUUGUUGGUGGGGUAACGGCCCACCAAGGCGACGACGGGUAGCCGGCCUGAGAGGGCGACCGGCCACACUGGGACUGAGACACGGCCCAGACUCCUACGGGAGGCAGCAGUGGGGAAUAUUGCGCAAUGGGCGAAAGCCUGACGCAGCGACGCAGCGUGAGGGACGAAGGCCUUCGGGUUGUAAAAUUCUUUCACCGGGGACGAUAAUGACGGUACCCGGAGAAGAAGCCCCGGCUAACUUCGUGCCAGCCGCCGCCGUAACAC